UCUUCUCUGCCGUAGCAGCGACGGAUGAAGAUGACGAUGGACCGCUGCUUUCCUUGCCGGCGGAAACCGCCAACAGACCUGAGGACAUUGAAACAGAACUUCUUUUUUCAGUUAUCGUAUCCUGCUCAAUGCACAAAUGCCAAACCGGAUCACCGAGCGACCUUGCCUCAGGCAAUUCGCUGACUCUGCUGUAAAGAUCUCUUCGGGAGACUAUCAUUCCUAUACUUUUCUCGUGAAGUUGAACGACGAUCAGCUGAUCAGCAAUGGAUCACGCGAGUACGUAGAUCCAGUAUCCGGUGAAAGCUCUGCCCUGGGGAAGCAGCAGAGUAUUGAUCAAGUUAAUGAUUGCAGUCGAAGAGCAUCUCUAAGCCGUACAGCGAUCAAGUAAAUCCUCCGAAAAUAAGGUCAGGAUGUCACGUCAAAGAUGUGAUUGAAAAUUUACUAUCUCUUCUCUUGCUUUUUCUUUUUCUUUUUCUUGUGGUGCAAUGUUAAGGCUGCCGAUAGCGUUUUAAAUUGUUUUAUUGUGAUUAGAUAUUCUCUUUGUACAGAGGGAAAAUUAUCUAACGUGUGAGCUUUCAAAUAUGUGCAAGCGUGCGGUUUGAAUUUCAAAUCGAGAAUUCUGUUGCAUGUGUAGCGGAGAAAGAAAAAACGAAAGAAAAAAAACGAGCUUAAAAAAGCUUGCGUAAUUAGAAAAUGUCUUUUACACAAAAUUUGUUACAAAAUGCGUUUGAUUGUAUACGAAUCUAAAAUCGUUGUGUUUUACGUCCGAGGAAUUGAAGUAAGAUGAGGAAAUGAUCUUAAGGAGAAUUAAUAAAGCUUAAAUAGCUAUAUAAAAAUUCACCCAAGUGAUUUCGAAAAUAUGUUUAAUUGCAUUUGAAUUUGAUUUUAAAAUCUUUGAUAUUUGAUCCGAAGCGGUAAAGUAAAACAAGAAAGUAAUGGAGAGAAGCUUUAAAAAAGCUUGUGCAGUUAAAAGGAAAUGUUUACUUAAGGUGUAUCUCAAUGUAUAUAUUUCACUGCUUUCGAAUCCAAAUUCUUCAAGUUUUUGACCUGAAGCAGCGAAGCGAAACAGGAAAACAAUCAAGAGAAGGUUUAAAAAAGUUCGCAAGCUCAAAACAAAUUUCACCCAGGGUGUGGCGUGAAAUGUGUUUCACUACAUUUGAAUCAAAGAUUUUGAACAUCUAGUCUGAAGCAGUAAAAUAAAUGGAGAAAAAAAUGUAAAUGAGUUUGAAAAAAAGCUCGCGUAACUAAAA
rnacentral:lncRNA from 1 species